GGGGCCGUGGGGUAGCUUGGCCUAUCCUACGAGCUUUGGGAGCUUGAGACUCCAGUUCAAAUCUGGACGGCCCCA
rnacentral:tRNA from 1 species